GGGUUGUGAGGUUAAGCGACCAAGCGUACACGGUGGAUGCCCUGGCAGUCAGAGGCGAUGAAGGACGUGCUAAUCUGCGAAAAGCGCCGGUAAGGUGAUAUGAACCGUUAUAACCGGCGAUGUCCGAAUGGGGAAACCCAGUGUGACUCGUCACACUAUCAUUAACUGAAUCCAUAGGUUAAUGAGGCGAACCGGGGGAACUGAAACAUCUAAGUACCCCGAGGAAAAGAAAUCAACCGAGAUUCCCCCAGUAGCGGCGAGCGAACGGGGAGGAGCCCAGAGCCUGAAUCAGCAUGUGUGUUAGUGGAAGCGUCUGGAAAGGCGCGCGAUACAGGGUGACAGCCCCGUACACAAAAGCGCACGUGCUGUGAGCUCGAUGAGUAGGGCGGGACACGUGGUAUCCUGUCUGAAUAUGGGGGGACCAUCCUC
rnacentral:rRNA from 1 species